AUUACUUUCCAGACGAGGCCCAUUUAUAACUUUAUCAGAUGAUGAGGCAGUUGUUCUGCACUGUCGAAACAUCUUCAUUCCUGUGCUUCGGGUAAACAUUUUUGGUAAGAAAGAGGACGCCAUUUCAAUCACGAAUCGCUGGGUAUUAAAUUGAAACAAUUAUUUAUAUAUUAAGUUUUAAAUCGGACUUUUGACUUCAUACUAUAGAGUAUUAAAAUCCCGACUUUGUUCCUCAAGAUAUUUGGAUUAUUUGAUAUUUGCUCCCAAAGCUAAAAAUCAUCAAAUUUGUCUAGGCAGUAUGGUCGUCUUCGGUCAGCUUUUAAUACAAAAUUGCAG